UUGACGCUUCCACCACUAUCAAUUCGUCUUCAAUCUCAUGGCCGUGAUGGAUACUCGCCCCACGCCGGCCACGAUGCAUAGUCCGACGGUGAUGACGCGCCCUCCGCCAACCGUGAUUUCUCCCCCUCCGCCGUCCAUGAACAGCCCUCCGUCUGCCAUGUUCCUUGUGCCUCCGCUGGUUUUGACUCGCCCUUCGGAAGAGAUGUUGGCGCCGCCUCUCCACGAUCUCAUCGCUCCUCUAUCCCCCGCCAUGUCUCAACGUCCUCGUAGCCAAGCAACAGAGUACAACAUGUGAUUCAGGCUGGGAGCUUGAAGUUCAUACAUUACAGGCUUUGUGCUGAUAUUUUUGCUUGGACUACUAUUUUUCUACAUUUCUGAAUUUUGUAUUUCUGAAAGUUGUCUUGUUAUGUAGCCUGAACCUUGUAGUUGAUUAAGUUAAUGUUGUACCAAGCAUUAUCAUUGUCUUUCCAAUACAUUGCUUUCCAUGCUUAAGUGGGUUGGCUGCUGAUUGCUGCUGCA